rnacentral:rRNA from 1 species
AGAACGAACGCUGGCGGCAGGCUUAACACAUGCAAGUCGAACGCCCUCGCAAGGGGGAGUGGCAGACGGGUGAGUAACACGUGGGAACAUACCCUUCGGUUCGGAACAACGCCGGGAAACUGGCGCUAAUACCGGAUACGGCUUUUGAGCGAAAGAUUUAUCGCCGAAGGAUUGGCCCGCGUUCGAUUAGCUUGUUGGUGAGGUAACGGCUCACCAAGGCGACGAUCGAUAGCUGGUCUGAGAGGAUGGCCAGCCACAUUGGGACUGAGACACGGCCCAAACUCCUACGGGAGGCAGCAGUGGGGAAUAUUGGACAAUGGGCGCAAGCCUGAUCCAGCCAUGCCGCGUGAGUGAUGACGGCCUUAGGGUUGUAAAGCUCUUUCGCACGCGACGAUAAUGACGGUAGCGUGAGAAGAAGCCCCGGCUAACUCGCGCCAGCAGCCGC